GUGGGGGAUAUUGCACAAUGGAGGAAACUCUGAUGCAGCAACGCCGCGUGAAGGAUGAAGGUCUUCGGAUUGUAAACUUUUGUACUUGGGGACGAUAAUGACGGUACCCAAGCAGCAAGCUCCGGCUAACUACGUGCCAGCAGCCGCGGUAAUACGUAGGGAGCAAGCGUUGUCCGGAUUUACUGGGUGUAAAGGGUGCGUAGGCGGCUAUGCAAGUCAGUUGUGAAAACUAUGGGCUCAACCCAUAGCCUGCAAUUGAAACUGCGUGGCUUGAGUGAAGUAGAGGUAGGUGGAAUUCCCGGUGUAGCGGUGAAAUGCGUAGAGAUCGGG
rnacentral:rRNA from 1 species